rnacentral:lncRNA from 1 species
AGCAAUGCUUUUUCAAUUACACAGUAAUGUCAAUACUAAAUCUCUUAAGAAAGAGUUUCAACAGAGAUGAUUUUUCAAUAACAACGUUAUUUCUUUGAGCAUUUCAUACGGAUUGUUCCCUAUUUUGAUCUCGGUGUUACGUGUUCUGUCGCAAUUAAUUGGUGUUAGAGGGAUCGUCAAGAAAAUCAACUCAGGUAUGUUAAGGCUAUCUCUUCUUUCUUUUUACAUGAUCCAUACGAUACGAAUGAAACGUGCAAAUGCACAAAUUCUAUAAAUGACUCUCUUCAUAAAAAUACUAGAGAUGCUUAUGUUCUUGAUUCCCCAUGUGCCAGAUGAUUCAUGACUUUGUAGAUUGAAUGGUUUAUUAUGACAAUUGUCUAGCAAGUUUAAGUUUAAGCCGCGUAAUGGCAUCACACGAUAAAUGUGCUGAAUUUUGUUGAUAUAUUGAGUAGUGAAAGGCACUACAAAGGUAUGGGAAAAAUAGUUGUAGAUUGUCAAUUAUGUAGUAGUAAGUAUAGGGGGCUUAACCAUAUAUUAUGACAAGGCUCUUUUAUUAUGAUUCUCAAAUACAAGUGAACGAACAUGUGUUCACUUAACUAAAGGGUAAGAAAUAUUUUGGAUCCUUUGCUAUAGGGAAACACAACUUAUGGUUCUAAAUUUUUUGUGUUAAGGUUAAGUCCUGUGGUGUUUUUAAGGAGGCAAAAUGGAAACGUUUCACAAAUAAUAAGUACGCAAGUUGGAAUUGUCACAAACAAAGCUUAAAUCUGUAAUUUUUGUCAAGGAUAAAGGAAUCCUGAGAGCAUACACAGAAUAAUUAUACAAGUUUGAUAACGAGUUAUAGAGAAAAAUUUGUAUCCCGAAAUUUACGUAUAUUUUGCUAGUCUCGCAAAUUACAUAUAUUUUCGUAGUUUUGUAAGUUACCAUAUUCUUCUUAUCAGAACUACAUAUUCAGUUGAGUAUUUCCUUAUUCUGGUAAAAAAAGCAGAGAGUUUACAUAUAUAAAGUAUUAAAAGUAUUUUCAUUAUCAUCGAGCUAUAAUCGAUGAGCAGGUCCCUAUUGGGCAACCUCUAAUCAGAUGAUAAGUUAUAUAUCAAGCCUACUGUGGUUGAACACAAAUGAGUGAGUCUAGUUGGUCGAGAUACAGAGCCUAGUAUGGCCGAGCGCCUAUGAGCGAGUCCAACUGGUCGAGAUACAAAGCCUUGUAUGGUUGAGCGCCUGUGGACGAGCCUACUAUGGAAAAGCAGUUAUAUAUAUAUCGAGCCUACUAUGGUCGUGCGCUUAUGAGCGAGCCCAGUUGGUCGAAAUACAGAGCCUAGUAUGGCCAAGCGUCUAUGAGCGAGCCUACUAUGGCCGAGUAGUUAUAUAUAUAUACCGAGCCUACUGUGACCGAGUGCUUAUGAGCGAGCCCAGUUGGUCGAGAUACAGAUCCCUAGUAUGGGCCGAGCGCUAUGAGCGAGUCUAAUACGGCAGAGCGAGUUCUAUAUANNNNNNNNNNNNNNNNNNNNNNNNNAUACCAAACCUUAUAGGGUCGGACAACUAUUUUACUUACUAUAUUAAGAGAGUUGAGUCAGUAUCAGCAGGUAAGCAUAUCUUCAGAUAUUCUUUGACUUCCAGCUACUUGCAGUUAUUAUAUUAUCAGUUCAGUUUCAGCUUUCAGUAUAUUGCCUUACAUACUUAGUACAUUAUUUCAUACUGACGUCCCUUUUUUGGGGGCGCUACAUUUCAUGCGUGCAGGUUCAAACAGACAGACGGGUAGACCUCCUCAUCAAGUGUUUCCCGAGUUCAACUUGAUCGGUAAGCUCCAUGCCUUUUGGAGAUGCCGGGUCUAUAGCUUUAUGUAUAUCUUGUCUAUAUAUGUAUAUAUGUUAUGAGUAGGUCAAGGAGUUGUCCCGAUCACAAUAUGUCCAUCAGUAGAGGCUUGUAGACAUAUUCUGUCAGUUAGUUCAACAUGUUAGGCUUGUAGGCCUUGUAUGUAUAUUUGGUUGGUUUGUCAGCUGAAGUAAUGAUGACGGCCUUGUCGGCCUAGCUUUAUAUUGAUAUUUAGUCAGCAUUUGCAGUUGUCUUGCAAUGUGGCCCAUGGCCAAAGUAUGACAUUAUAUACUCAAUAAACUUUAGUCACAAGUUGGUACGAUGGUGAGGCACCGGGUGCCGGUCUGACUCCCAAGGGCGUGACAAAAGUAGUAUCAGAGUAGUUCUGUCCUAAGGAGUCCACAAGUCGUGUCUAGUAGAGUCUUAUUUAUGGGUGUGUCUGUGAUGACCCAAAAUAUCAUCUUUAAAUUAAAUAAUCAUCUCGG